GACGAACGCUGGCGGCGUGCUUAACACAUGCAAGUCGAACGGAAAGGCCCUGCUUUUGUGGGGUGCUCGAGUGGCGAACGGGUGAGUAACACGUGAGUAACCUGCCCUUGACUUUGGGAUAACUUCAGGAAACUGGGGCUAAUACCGGAUAGGAGCUCCUGCUGCAUGGUGGGGGUUGGAAAGUUUCGGCGGUUGGGGAUGGACUCGCGGCUUAUCAGCUUGUUGGUGGGGUAGUGGCUUACCAAGGCUUUGACGGGUAGCCGGCUGAGAGGGUGACCGGCCACACUGGGACUGAGAUACGGCCCAGACUCCUACGGGAGGCAGCAGUGGGGAAUAUUGCACAAUGGGCGGAAGCCUGAUGCAGCAACGCCGCGUGCGGGAUGACGGCCUUCGGGUUGUAAACCGCUUUCGCCUGUGACGAAGCGUGAGUGACGGUAAUGGGUAAAGAAGCACCGGCUAACUACGUG
rnacentral:rRNA from 1 species